UACGUAGGCAGCAAGCGUUGUUCGGAGUUACUGGGCGUAAAGAGUGCGUAGGUGGCGGGGUAAGUCUGGUGUGAAAGCUCCGAGCUCAACUCGGAAAAGCAUUGGAAACUAUCCCGCUGGAGGGUCGGAGGGGAGACUGGAAUUCUCGGUGUAGCAGUGAAAUGCGUAGAUAUCGAGAGGAACACCAGUGGCGAAGGCGAGUCUCUGGACGACUCCUGACACUGAGGCACGAAAGCUAGGGGAGCAAACGGG
rnacentral:rRNA from 1 species